ensembl:misc_RNA Y_RNA Y RNA
CGCUCCCCUGAAAGUAGUGAAUUAUCUCAAUUGAUUGUUCAGUCGGUUACAAAUAGAACUCCUUGUUCUACUCUUUCUCCCCUUCUCACUAGUGAACUUGGCAAAUCUUUA